rnacentral:rRNA from 1 species
ACGGGAGGCAGCAGUGAGGAAUAUUGGUCAAUGGGCGAGAGCCUGAACCAGCCAUGUCGCGUGCAGGAUUACGGCCCUACGGGUCUUAAACUGCUUUUGAUUGGGGAUAAAGUGGGGGACGCGUCCCCUAUUGCAGGUACCAAUCGAAUAAGGAUCGGCUAACUCCGUGCCAGCAGCCGCGGUAAUACGGAGGAUCCGAGCGUUAUCCGGAUUUAUUGGGUUUAAAGGGUGCGCAGGCGGCACGUUAAGUCAGUGGUGAAAUGUCAGGGCUCAACCUUGGCACUGCCAUUGAAACUGGCGAGCUAGAGUGCGUUUGGGGUGCAUGGAAUGUGUGGUGUAGCGGUGAAAUGCAUAGAUAUCACACAGAACGCCGAUCGCGAAGGCAGUGCACCAAGCCGCAACUGACGCUCAGGCACGAAAGCGCGGGGAUCGAACAGGAUUAGAUACCCUGGUA